UACGUAGGGGGCAAGCGUUGUCCGGAUUUAUUGGGCGUAAAGAGCGUGUAGGCGGCUUUGCAAGUCCGUUGUGAAAACUCGAGGCUCAACCUCGAGACGCCGGUGGAAACUGCAAAGCUAGAGUCCGGAAGAGGAGAGUGGAAUUCCUGGUGUAGCGGUGAAAUGCGCAGAUAUCAGGAAGAACAUCCGUGGCGAAGGCGGCUCUCUGGGACGGUACUGACGCUGAGACGCGAAAGCGUGGGGAGCGAACAGG
rnacentral:rRNA from 1 species